CUUAUUAAUGUUAGUUACUCCAUUCAACCUGAAACCUAUAUGCGUAAACUAAUUAUAAAUUAUUGAGAUUAUUUUUUCCAAAACAUAUAUUGGAAUUGUAUUUUCUGUUUUGGAUUUUAUUUUCACGUCCGCUGACUAAGACUUUCUCUUAUACAUUAUGCAUAUUCGUCUAGAAGCAACUUGGAGUUGAGGCAUCCCUUACCUGGAAAGUGUAAAUGCCAAAACCAUGGAGUAACAGUGAGCAACAAAUACAAAAGGAAUAUUCCAGAAUACUUCUUCAAUUGCCAUAGAGCUACCUCUCUUCCUACUAUAUAAACCGUGUUCUCCUUCAUUUAACAUCACACCGCAGCACCAUCAUCAUCUUCUUCUUCAGGCUUCUUAUAUUUCUCAUCAUCAUCUUCUUCUUCAGUCUCUCAAUAUAGAAAGACAAUUAUACAGGGAAAUGGCGGACUCUUCAACUUCAACAUCACAGUCCAACCAUACCGUAAUAUCCAAUGCAGAUCCUGUGAAUGCUCCUGACCUUUCCUUUUUACAAGAAGAAUUUUUACAAGAAAAUGGUAAAAUUUAUCUUUCAAAAAUAAUUUUCUUCGUUCAUCUUGGAUAAAAUUAUUUUGGAUUAACUAUGUUUUUAGUUUUUGAAUUUAUAUGUGAAAUUAAUUGUUUUUUAAAAUUUUGAUACAUUUUCGUUAUUAAACUUUAAAAAUAAAU
rnacentral:sRNA from 1 species